GGAUCAUUACACAUACCAUAAAUUAUAAGGCCUGUCACUACGUGGCUGUAAUAGAACCAUAAGGCGUGCUUCAGGCGCCAGAGCCGGUAACAAUCCAACUUCGCGUUGGGUAUGUAUCGGUCUGACCGUUUUGAUACCACGAAUUCUUGGAUGUGCACUCCAGACGAGUGGCAUGGCCCAAUUACUCAAACCCUCUGCGUACCUAUCCAUGUUGCUUCCCCGUUACCUUUUGGAGCGGGGGAGGUCCCCAAUCAAACCCUUCAAGCAAAAGCUGUCAGAACACAAAAAAACAAAACAGUUAAAACUUUCAACAACGGAUCUCUUGGUUCCCACAUCGAUGAAGAACGCAGCGAAAUGCGAUAAGUAAUGUGAAUUGCAGAAUUCAGUGAAUCAUCGAAUCUUUGAACGCACAUUGCGCCCUCUGGUAUUCCGGGGGGCAUGCCUGUUCGAGCGUCAUAAACAACUCUCCCCCAAGCCUUUUUGGUGAAAGGGGGGUUGUGGUCGGUAGUGUUCGACUCCACAAGGUCUUUCACUCGGCUCAAAAUUCUUGGUCCCGUAGGCCUGUAUGUGGUCUGGCAGGCGUAAGUGGUAAAAUAUUUCGUUGCGGUCUACUUC
rnacentral:rRNA from 1 species